rnacentral:rRNA from 1 species
GGUAAACCUUGGCGGCGUGCCUAAUACAUGCAAGUUGAGCGCUGAAGGUUGGUACUUGUACCCACUGGAUGAGCAGCGAACGGGUGAGUAACGCGUGGGGAAUCUGCCUUUGAGCGGGGGACAACAUUUGGAAACGAAUGCUAAUACCGCAUAAAAACUUUAAACACAAGUUUUAAGUUUGAAAGAUGCAAUUGCAUCACUCAAAGAUGAUCCCGCGUUGUAUUAGCUAGUUGGUGAGGUAAAGGCUCACCAAGGCGAUGAUACAUAGCCGACCUGAGAGGGUGAUCGGCCACAUUGGGACUGAGACACGGCCCAAACUCCUACGGGAGGCAGCAGUAGGGAAUCUUCGGCAAUGGACGAAAGUCUGACCGAGCAACGCCGCGUGAGUGAAGAAGGUUUUCGGAUCGUAAAACUCUGUUGGUAGAGAAGAACGUUGGUGAG